rnacentral:lncRNA from 1 species
UUGACUUUGAUGAGGACCAAAUAAGACAGCCUGAAAGAGUAUCCAGAGCUUGAAGUUGUAAAUCAGGAAGUCUAGGUUCUAGGCUGUUGUCUCUCAAAUUUGAUGUGACCUCAGACAGCCAUCUGAGUCUCUCCCACAAAGAGCAAGAAGGUUUUUGAAAGUGUGACGUGCUAAAUAAACUGGGGAGAGUUUUAUUAUUCAUGGUUGGAAAAUACAUUAUUUUUUUCAAUUGGCAAAAUUAACAACCCAAAUUAAUUGAACAGCAUUUACUUAAUGACAUUAAUUUUUAUGUGAAUUUUCCCACUAGCAGUGUUUUUUUUUUUUUUGUGACUGUCUAUGGGAGGGGUCCAAUAGAUAAGCACUGCCUUCACCUGACACAUGUGCUAAAUUCUCCUUCCCUUGCAUGAUUCUAGCUGCAGACCAUAGUUUUCCGACCUUAGCUGCCACCGCAAUAUGUGGGGACUACUCUCUUCCAUGUUGUGCAAAGCCAUUGUGAAAGUCAUUAACACCUUCCAUGUAUGCUAGAGUUCCAGUUUUCAAUCCCUCUUUGGCUUCGGCCAGAGAAAGAAGACAACAAUUGUAUGUUGAUUUCGCUUUUUGCCUCUAGGGCCACCGUCUCCCACUGGGGUGUGAAAUCAGCAUUCCUGUGAAGAUGUCUUAUUUGUAGCAUUCUUUCCCUAUGGCUGCGUAGAUUUCAGAGAGCAGAAACACAGACAUCUCAUUUUUUAAAUUAACACAUUUUUUUUUUUUAGGGUUAAUUUGCCUAGCUGAAGACUUCUACUGAAGAGAGUCCAGCUAACUACAUUCAAAUAUGAACUUCUCAAGGACCCAGAAAAAGAUCAGUUGGAAAUGGCAAAGGCUCGAGUGAAUAUGGUGGACUAGGAAGAUGGGUUCUGAUGGCCUGGGCUCUUCUUCUGACUUUACAGCCGUCUUGCUGGGUGAUGUUAGCUCCUCCUCCCUGAUAUUUGCCUGGGUUAUUAGUGGUGCCUUUUGGAACAUUCUGGAACAUUCUAUGGUAGGUAGCAUUAGCACAGAUCUGUCUACCUGGAUCACAAGAUCACAGGGGCAUGCAUAUGGGUGAUGUGUUGAAUAGAAGGUGUUGAAGGAUAGUCAUCAUGGACCCAACCUUGAGCUACAUCUGGUCUAAGAAGUAACAGAGUUUAAAACCAAUUCUCAUGAGUAUUUGUCUUUAAGUGGGAUUGGCAACAAGAUGGUCCCUUUCUUCUUUCUUUAUCUGAAACAAAUGGUUUAAUCACUCCCAUUCUUCUCUUUUCAAGGCUAAUUUUUCUUAAAUGUCUUUAGCCUUUGAGUACUUUUUAACAUUCAGUUAUGUCUGUUCUGUCAACUCUUAUUUACAAACACAUGCCUUUUAACAAUUUUAACCUGUGCCUUUCACGUUUUCCAAAAUCUUCUGACAAAGAUACAAGAAAAAAGUUCAACUUAUUUUAUUCUGAUUUUUGAAAUAUAAGAGAGUUUUUCAGUUCCACUAUGGUUCCACAUAAUGCCAAUUGGCUAAAUAAAAAUUAAAAGUAAAUAAAAAACUCACAGUCCUCCCCCCCGCCAAGCCCAAUUCCUUAUGUAUUUGAUGUCACAAAGAUAAACUACCUGGAUGUUUAGCUGAAAUUUUCAUUUUUCAGAGACAUUUUUCUUUUUGAGCAGGCAUAACCUCUCUCUUUCUCUCCUGUACAAGGAAAAAAAAUACCAGCUAUCCUUCUGAUUUUAAUCAGAAAAUAGAAAUAUAAAAUAUAAAUUCAAUAAAAAAAAUCUGAAUUCAGCUCUUUACUAUUUCCUGAACAUGUGUUCAUUAUUGUUAAUAUAUAAAGUGCAUGUUCAGAGUGGUUCAGAAAGCUAAGGGCUUUGGGGCGCCUGGAUGGCUCUGUCGGUUAAUUGUCUGCCUUCGGCUCAGGUCAUGAUCUGGGGUUCCUGGGAUAGAGCCCCACGUCGGGCUCUCUGCUCAGUGGGGAGUCUGCUUAUCCCUCCCCUGAUGCUUGUGCUCUCUCUCUCUCAAGUAAAUAAAUAAAUAAAUCUUAAAAAGAAAAAGAAAAAGAACGGCUUUGAAAAUUGUUACUGAAUAUUGUUAACUAUAUACUGAAGCAAAGGGGUUGUUUGUAUACUAUAACUCUUAUAACAGGAAGAAAGUGCAGUAGGCGGUUAAGGAACCUGCAUUUGUGAUUAUUUCAACAUGGUUAAGGGCACUCAGUGUCCUGUGUUCUAUAGGAUGCCACAGAAGGGGGACCCAGGAGGAUGACAUGGGUCAAUCUUUGUUUCUCUUCCUGCACCAAGCUUAUGGGGUUGAUUUUGCCUUCAAUGCAUAGGACUAGUUGUUCUUGAUUUCAUCCCGACGAUCCGAAGAAUUUUUAUGUAUUUUUUCUAUACAUUCAAGCACUAAAAACCCCCAAUAUUAAACAGCUACAGACUUUGCCACCUAGAUGUUUAGAGUUCAAAGCAAAUAACAGUAUGACAGACCAGAGGCAACUUAGCCAUCUAUCAAACAAAUUCAUAGCCUGAUGAGACAGCAGAUUAAAAGCUUAACUGGGGUAGUUUGAGCUUUUUGAAGUAAGUGCCACUGUGUUUUCCACCAGAAUUUAGUUUCUUCUAUUGUUUUCUGAUAUUAUAAAAGCAAUGUAUACUUGUUACAGAGAAAAAUUAGAGAUUAGAGUAUAUAAAGAGCAAAACCAAAAACAUUCAUUCCCAGCCUGAAUUUUCCCUUUCAUUACCAAUCAGCCAUUGGGAUCCCAUUGGUAUAUAUCCUUGUAGGUACAUAAAAUUGCACCCUGUUCUACAUACCCAGACCUACUUAUUUAGUAUCAUUUUUAAAAAAGAUUUUAUUUAUUUGACAGAGAGUGAGAGAGCACAGCAAGGGGAGUGGCAGACAGAGGGAGAAGCAGACUUCAGUGCUGAGCAGGGAGCCCGAUGCUGGGCUCGAUCCCAGGACUCCGGGAUCAUGACCUGAGCCGAAGGCAGAUGAUUAACCGAUGGAGCCACGCAGGCAUCCUUAGUUAGUAUAAUUUUUAUGGUUUCAAAAUAUUUCAUUUUCUGGACUUACUAAUGUACCCUUAAACAAUGCACAUUUAUUAAACAUUCGGGUCAUUUCUAACUUUUCUCUCUGUCAAGCUAUUGCUCUAAAAUAUGUAUAGUGAGACAACUUAAUUCAUAUAAUCAUCUCAAGAGGUUUAUGUACGUGACUAAGAAACUAUUGUUUGUCGGGGCGCCUGGGUGGCACAGCGGUUAAGCGUCUGCCUUCGGCUCAGGGCGUGAUCCCAGCGUUAUGGGAUCGAGC